rnacentral:rRNA from 1 species
AUUGAACGCUGGCGGCAUGCUUUACACAUGCAAGUCGAACGGCAGCGAGGAGAAGCUUGCUUCUCUGUCGGCGAGUGGCGAACGGGUGAGUAUAGCAUCGGAACGUGCCAAGUAGUGGGGGAUAACCAAACGAAAGUUUGGCUAAUACCGCGUAAGCUCUAAGGAGGAAAGUAGGGGACCUAAAUAAGGCCUUACGCUAUUUGAUCGGCCGAUGUCGGAUUAGCUAGUUGGUGGGGUAAUGGCUCACCAAGGCAAUGAUCCGUAGCGGGUCUGAGAGGACGAUCCGCCACACUGGGACUGAGACACGGCCCAGACUCCUACGGGAGGCAGCAGUGGGGAAUUUUGGACAAUGGGGGAAACCCUGAUCCAGCCAUGCCGCGUGUAUGAAGAAGGCCUGAGGGUUGUAAAGUACUUUUGUUAGGGAAGAAAAGCUAGUUUUUAAUAAAAAUUAGUGAUGACGGUACCUAAAGAAUAAGCACCGGCUAACUACGG